CAGCAGCCGCGGGAAUACGAAGGGUGCAAGCGUUAAUCGGAAUUACUGGGCGUAAAGCGUGCGUAGGCGGUGAGUUAAGUCUGCUGUGAAAUCCCCGGGCUCAACCUGGGAAUGGCAGUGGAUACUGGCUCGCUAGAGUGUGUCAGAGGAUGGUGGAAUUCCCGGUGUAGCGGUGAAAUGCGUAGAGAUCGGGAGGAACAUCAGUGGCGAAGGUGGCCAUCUGGGACAACACUGACGCUGAGGCACGAAAGCGUGGGGAGCAAACAGGAUUAGAUACCCGCGUAGUCCCUGUCUCUUAUAC
rnacentral:rRNA from 1 species